GUACACGCUGUGACUAGCAUAUCAAUAAGCGGAGGAAAAGAAACUAACAAGGAUUCCCCUAGUAACGGCGAGUGAAGCGGGAAGAGCUCAAAUUUGAAAUCUUAAAGGGUUUCCCUUUACGAAUUGUAGUUUAAAGAAGUGUUUUUCUGUUGAGGUUUUGGUAAAAGUUCUUUGGAAUAGGACAUCAUAGAGGGUGAGAAUCCCGUAUUUGACCAUUAUUUUCAGCUGUGUGAUACACUUUCAAAGAGUCGGAUUGUUUGGGAAUGCAGUCCAAAAUGGGUAGGUAAAUUUCAUCUAAAGCUAAAUAUUGGCGAGAGACCGAUAGCGAACAAGUACCGUGAGGGAAAGAUGAAAAGAACUUUGAAAAGAGAGUUAAACAGUACGUGAAAUUGUCAAAAGGGAAGCGUUUGACACCAGUGUUGUUCUUCUGAAAAUCAAUUAAAGAACUGUUUAUGCUAAGCUGUUUAGACUUUAUCAGCUAUCUGCUUAGUUCUGAGCUUUUCUUUAAUGCACUUUUCAGUUAACAAGUCAACAUCAAUUUCUUUUGCUGUAAAAAAGCUUGAGGAAGGUGGCUUGAGAUUCGUCUUAAGUGUUUAUAGCCUCUUGCCUAUGCAGUCGGAGAGAUUGAGGUCUGCAGCGUAGAUCCUUCGGGGCUAAAUGCAUUUGUGCUAAGUUAUAGCAUUUUAUAGACAACUUGUUGACUAUGAUUUGUCUUGUAGCUUACUCGCUUAUGUUAUUUUACCUACGCUUAGGAUGUUGACGCAUGAGAUAUACGC
rnacentral:rRNA from 1 species